GACGAACGCUGGCGGCGUGCUUAACACAUGCAAGUCGAACGGAAAGGCCCUGCUUUUGUGGGGUGCUCGAGUGGCGAACGGGUGAGUAACACGUGAGUAACCUGCCCUUGACUUUGGGAUAACUUCAGGAAACUGGGGCUAAUACCGGAUAGGAGCUCCUGCUGCAUGGUGGGGGUUGGAAAGUUUCGGCGGUUGGGGAUGGACUCGCGGCUUAUCAGCUUGUUGGUGGGGUAGUGGCUUACCAAGGCUUUGACGGGUAGCCGGCCUGAGAGGGUGACCGGCAACAUUGGGACUGAGAUACGGCCCAGACUCCUACGGGAGGAAGAAGUGGGGAAUAUUGAACAAUGGGCGGAAGCCGGAUGCAGCAACGCGGGGUGCGGGAGGACGGCCUUCGGGUUGUAAACGGCUUUGGCCUGUGACGAAGCGUGAGUGACGGUAAUGGGUAAAGAAGCACCGGCUAACUACGU
rnacentral:rRNA from 1 species